UGUACUGGUCACCUCGCCUGCGCUCUCUCCGCCUGGCGAUUGCAGAAGCAGAAGCCAGCAGCAGCGAUCCCGCCCUAGCUAGCUCGCCGCCCUCGUUCACCGCUUACUGCCGGCGGGAUGAUCCCGUUCAACCCCGCGGUCGCCGCGGAGGUGCGCGCCCUGAUCCAGGGCGCCGAGGACUCCACCUUCGAUCCCAUAUAUCGCGAGCUCUCCCAGCUUGUGGAUUGUAGCCCUGAUGGGUGCGUUUUGUUGCUUCAAGUUUGUGUGGAUGAAAUGCUCUUGAACAUUGGUGGGGCAAAGAACCACCAAUUGAAACAUGAUCUUGUAGCCACCAUCUUCAGAUAUUGUGUGGAUAAACCCUACUUCAGCACCAGUUUCUGUGAAGCAUUGAGGGCAAUACCUGUCAGCGAUGGGUUCCUUGAAACACUGUCCAAUGAACUUGAGUUAUCUGCAGCUGAGAGGGUUGGAGUUGGACUUGCUCUCUCAGAUUCUGAGAAUCCAGACUUGAACCUGGAAGGGAGAAAAUUUGUAAUUGCUCAAAUUGAGGAGUUAUGCUCAAACCAUGCUCAUUCUGUAUCAAAUGAAUGGAUCCAGGAGAUUGUUGUGUUUCUUCUUCGGACUGAAGGCCUCUCAAAGCAUAUGAACUCCUUUACUAAGAUUAUUUCCCUAUUAAAUGUUGAAGAGGGGCCAUUCUAUUUUCCUGUUCCACUUCAGCAAGCCAACAGUGAUCAAGCAAAUUCUUUGAGAUAUACAGAGAUGUGCAUUGGUAGCUCAGAUGAUGAUUUUGACUCCCUUCUAUCUGAAAUUGGAAAACAAAUAAGCCUGCCUGAUAUCAUCAGUGAACUGGGAUAUGGAUGUACUUCUGAUACUACUCAUUGUAAAGAAAUGUUAUCACUCCUUGAGCCUCUUGAUGAUAUGGGAAUCUCUAAGUUACUAGGGGCGGUUGUUUGCACUCGUAUUGGUGUUGGAGAAGCUCAAAAUACAUAUUCAAUAUUCCUUUCGGCUUUUGGGAACAACCAAACAAUUGACUCAUCUCAGUUGACUGCAUGGGAUAUUGAUGUCCUUGUGGAUUCAAUCAAUGAAAUUGCACCUGGAACUAACUGGACGCAUGUAAUAGAAAGUCUUGAUCAUGAGGGUUUCAUUAUCCCUGAUGAAGCAGCUUUUCGUUUAUUGAUGUCUAUAUAUUCUCGAUCCUGCAAGGAUCCAUUCCCACUUCAUGCCAUUUGUGGGUCACUGUGGAAUAAUACAGAAGGACAACUGUCAUUCUUGAAACAUGCAGUGGCUUUGCCAAAUGAUACAUUUACUUUCGCACAUUCUACCAGGAAGAUGGCUUUUCCAGACUUGGGAAAUCACAACCAAGGCAACCAGGCUUGGUACUGUCUUGACCUUCUUGAGGUGUUAUGUCAGCUUGCCGAAUUUGGCUAUGCAAAGCCAGUGCGAGCAAUGCUUGAUUAUCCUCUGAUCAAUUGUCCUGAAGUGUUACUUCUUGGUGUUAGCCAUAUCAAUACUGUAUAUAAUCUCAUCCAGCAGGAAGUGUUGUCAUGUGUUUUUCCUUCUGUGGUGAAGAACACCAUGCACAGCAGUCUUAUGAACUAUCUUUGGCAUAUCAACCCUUACCUUACUCUUCGAGGAUUUGUUGAUGCUCAUUCUGACAUAAGUUGUCUUCUGCGAACGGUUGAGAUAUGUGAAGACCUAAAGAUCUUGGCUACUGUCCUUGAUUCCACCCCGUUUGCAUUUAGCAUUAGACUUGCUACAGCUGCCUUUAGGAAGGACCAUAGCCAUCUUGAAAAAUGGCUAUCUGAAAAGUUGAGUGCACAAAGAGUUACCUUUCUUGAGGAAUGUGUUCAAUUCUUGAAAGAAAUUAUGAUAAACACAAAUUAUAAUGCUGUGGAAGGUGCCAUUCAACAUCUUCAAGCUACUCUUUCAAAUAUCUGCUGGGACUCUUGCCCUGUAUUUAUAAAGGUUCUUCGUUCUCACUCGGGGCAGCUGCUAUCUAACCAACUGGUGGAUGAACUAAGGAGAGUUGAAUCAAUGUAUGAAUCAAGUAAUCGUGGUGAUGUAGGAAGGGACAUGCCUUCUUCUGAUGGAGGUUCUGAAGACAUCGAAGCUCAGGCAAAUAUUUAUUUUCAACAGAUGUUUGCUGGACAGAUAAGCAUUGAUGCUAUGAUACAGAUGCUUGCACGCUUCAAAGAAUCAAAAGACAAGAGGGAGCUAUCAAUUUUCAACUGCAUGAUCUCAAAUUUGUUUGAAGAAUACAAGUUCUUCCCAAAGUAUCCAGAUGCACAACUUAAAUUAGCUGCUGUGCUUUUUGGCUCUGUCAUAAAACAUCAACUUGUGGCCCACCUGGCACUUGGAAUUGCUCUACGCGGUGUUCUUGAUGCCCUGCGUAAAUCCAUUGAUUCAAAGAUGUUUAUGUUUGGUACAACAGCAUUGGAGCAGUUUAUGGAUCGAGUAAUUGAGUGGCCACAAUAUUGCAAUCAUAUACUGCAGAUUUCACAUCUUCGUGGGACACAUGCUGAGUUAGUUUCUGCUAUCGAGCAAGCACUUGCCAAGAUAUCGUUGAGUCAAAAUGAGCCCAAUUUGAGCCCCAUGCUUCCUGUGGAUCAGCGAGGUUCUGGUUCACAGUCUAUUGAAAACAUAGAGUCUUCUGAAGCACCAUGGCAGUUCAUAAAUUCAACUCCAACACAACUAGAUAGGACAAUUUCUUCCUUUGCAUUGCAACAGAAGAAUCAGGGAUUUCUCGAGGAGAGGUCCAAAGGCUCUACUAGUACCAGUCAAACAAAAACCAUCAUGGCUAUUGGUCAACCUCCUCUCACUUCAAUUAGUGAUUUGGGUGUCAAUUCAAAGACUACUGUGUCACUGUCGGCUCAAGCUUCACCCCAUCAUUCUAGCAGCGCAUCAGCUCUUUCACAAUCUUCUGGUUUUCUACGAUCUAGAACUUCAGCUCCAGCAGGCAUUCUUCGACAACCUUCCUACACUACAGGAUUUGGAUCUGCUUUAAAUAUCGAGACUCUUGUUGCUGCAGCUGAACAAAGGGAUACACCAAUUGAGGCCCCACCACCUGAAGUUCAAGACAAAAUUUUCUUCAUGAUCAAUAAUAUUUCCAUUUCUAAUAUGGAGGCUAAGGCAAAAGAGUUUAAUGAGGUUUUACAGGAGCAUUAUUAUCCUUGGUUUGCACAAUACAUGGUUAUGAAAAGGGCAAGCAUUGAACCGAAUUUCCAUGACUUAUAUUUGAAAUUCUUCGACAAGGUUAACACAAAAUCAUUGAAUAAGGAAAUAAUGAAAGCUACAUACGAGAACUGCAAGGUCUUGUUACGGUCGGAUCUUAUCAAAUCUAGUUCUGAAGAGCGUUCGUUGCUAAAAAAUCUUGGUAGCUGGCUUGGAAAAUGCACUAUAGGUAGGAAUCAAACAUUACGAGCAAAGGAAAUUGACCCAAAAAUCUUAAUAGUUCAGGCUUAUGAAAGGGGGUUGAUGAUUGCGGUCAUUCCGUUUACUUCAAAGAUUCUUGAACCUUGCCAAUCAAGUAUAGCAUAUCGUCCUCCAAAUCCCUGGACGAUGGGUAUUCUUAGUCUUCUUGUUGAGAUAUACAAUCUACCUAAUCUCAAAAUGAACCUCAAGUUUGACAUUGAGGUCUUGUUUAAGAAUCUUAGUGUGGACAUGAAAGAUGUAAAACCAUCUUCUCUUCUUAAAGAUCGGAUUCGGCAAGUUGUCGGAAAUCCAGAUUUUUCAAAUAAAGAUGUUAUUGCAUCUCAAACACCUUCAGCAGUGGAGGUCUCUUCCGGUAUCGUUCCUUCACUGAACCAUGUAGAACUACAACCGGAGAUUAAUAGCACUUCACGUGCUACAAGCCUUCCAAAUAUGCUUAGUCAGUAUGCAGCACCUAUUCGCCUACCUCCAAACAGUAUGGUUGAAGAUGAUAAGGUUGCUUUAAUCAUGCCUGAACAAGUUAGCUCUCACAGUCUGACCCAGGUUGCACCACCUCAAACACCAUCACCGUCCCCAUUUUCUUUGAGUCAGCUUAUGGCAGCAAUUCCACGUGCUGAUAUAUAUUUCAGAAUCAAUGAAAAGCUUAACUCACUUGGCCCACAAUUGCAGUAUAGCAAAAUCAUGGAUGUGGCAUUAGAUAAGGCUAUUAAGGAGAUUAUAGCUCCUGUUAUUCAAAGAAGUGUUACAAUUGCUAGCCGAACCACCAAGGAACUUAUUGUAAAGGAUUAUGCAAUGGAAUCUGAUGAUGGUACCAUUUCUCGCUCUGCACAUUUGAUGGUUAGUACAUUAGCAGGAAGUUUGGCCCAUGUUACUUCCAAGGAGCCUCUUCGUGUUGCUUUGUUAUCUCAUCUUCGAAGUCUUGUUCAGAACCUGAUUAGCAAUAGUGAAACCACUGAACAAAUUAGUCACAUCCUUGUUAAUGAUAAUCUGGAUCUUGGAUGUGCUCUAACAGAGACUGUGGCAACACGCAAGGCUAUAGAGAUGAUUGAUGGAGACAUAAAGCAAGCUUUUGCACAACUCAGGAGACAAAAGGAACUACAAGGCUCAGCUUAUUAUGAUGUUUCUUCUUACACUCAAGGUCUUACACGUGUCCCUGAUGUACUGCGUCCUAAGCCUUCUGGUAAUUUGUCUGCUGUCCAACGACGAGUAUACGAGGACUUCAUGACUAUGUGGCAUAGCCAGAGUAGUCAAAAUGCUGGUGCAACAACUUCUGCUACAACAGGGGUCAUUGCCCCAACCGAAUCCAGUACUGCUUCAGUUCAUGGACCAAUUUUAGCACCAUCAGCCUCCAGUAGUUUCUCAACUCUCCAAUUUGCUGCAUUCACAUCUGCAAAUCAUUCAACAGAACUAAUACCUGACAAGAUAGAUCCUGGUGCUCCACAACUUUUAAGUAUGACUGACAGUUCUGGCCAAGCUCGUGGAAUCACAAAUGUUGCAUCGAUUUUUCCUCCUAUGGCCUCUGGUGACCUUCUAGUGGGUGAACUAGCAACUGCAACUAAGGAUAUAGGUUCUGCAAUAUCACCUUCACCCACAGUUGCUAUUGAUCGUCUAGGAUCUGCUUUUCCAGAACUGCUGAAUACUGGUGAUGCAUUGGACAGAUAUGAACAUGUUUGGCAGAAGCUCGAAACCUUGAUUGCAAACAAUGGGAAAGAGGUGGAAAUUCAGUCUGUUAUCGCCGAAGUUCCUGAUAUCUUGUGCAGAUGUGUGAGUCGAGAUGAAGCUGCGUUAGCAGUUGCACAGAAGGUUUUCAGAAGUUUGUAUGAAAAUGCGUCAAAGAGCACUUUUGUCACUUGGCUUCUAGCAACCCUUGUUGCAGUGCGUGAUGUUUACAAACUUGUUGUGAAAGAGUUGACAAGCUGGGUAAUAUAUUCAGAUGAAGAGAAGAAAUUUAACUUGGAGAUAGUUAUUGGACUUAUUUGUUAUGAUCUGCUUCAUCUUGGGGAGUAUAAUGCUCAUUUGGCAAAGCUUAUAGAUGGUGGAAGAAACAAGAUGGCAACAGAAUUUGCUAUAUCACUCAUCAAGACAUUGGUUACCCAAGAAUCCAAUAGCGUCUCCGAGCUUUUUAGUGUUGUUGAUGCCUUAUCGAAGCUUGCAAUCAGGCCUGGGUCACCUGAUUCAUUACAGCAAUUGGUUGAAGUUGCAAGGAGUACCUUCACCAGUACUAAUUACGCUGCUUCAAAGGAUGAAAAGGUUAUUCAAUCAAGAGAUAAAAAGGUUGUAUCUGGUCAAUCUCUGAUGAAUAAUGAAGAUAAUGCUGAUGGCAUUGCUUUUACUAAUGCUGCUGAUUUUCAGGACAAGGUUUAUGGAACACAUUUAACUAUCUUUUCUUUGAAAAUCAGGUUGCGGUCUUGUUUUCUGAAUGGUGUCAAAUAUGUGACCAUCCCACUACCAGUGAUUCAGUAUAUAGCCAUCACAUUGUGCAGUUGCAACAGAAUGGCUUGCUGAAGGGAGAUGAUUUGACUGACCGUUUUUUCUUUAAUCUCACUGAACUUGCUAUUGCACACGCAGUGUCUGAGCAAGCUAUUGCUCCUAGUGGACUAUCUCCACAGUCAUCCCAGCAACACCAGAUUUCUUAUUUUUCAAUUGAUUCAUAUUCAAAACUUGUGACUUCAGUUGUCAAGUUAGUGGAUUUGGGACAAAAUAAAGGCAGUCUUCUCCAUAAGAUUUUCUCUGUGACAGCUAGGAUCAUUCAGAAAGAUGCUGAAGAAAAGAAACUUUCUUUCAAUCCUCGGCUGUAUUUCCGUUUGUUUAUAAAUUGGUUAAGUGAGCUUACUUCUUCUGACUUUCACCAUGAUGGCGCUAAUUUUCAGGUACACAUGUUAAAUUGGCAUGUAUAUGUCCUAAUUUUAUAUAUGUUAAAGCAGUUUCACAUAUCCAAAACCUUUUGGACUACCUAUCUGGUACCUGACACAUGUUUGCCAGGUUUUGAGUACAUUUGCAAAUGUACUUCAUAUUCUGCAACCCUUGAGAGUUCCUGCUUGGAGGUUUGUAUAUUGUUUUAAUCCCACUUGGCAAUUUCCUGAAAUCUUUGACUUCCUACUUGCUUUGAUGUUUAAUGCUUUCCUUUUUGUUGAACAAAUAGUUGCCAUUGCAUGUUUCAUUUACACUAAUAUUUUCCAAUGCCUAGUGUCAGAAUUUUUUUUUUCUAAUGUGUAAUAUCACUUCAACAUUUAUUUAUUUGCACAAUGGUCUUGAAGAAAUGACAAUUAGUUUUUGAAGAAAUUACAUGGUUGCAUGAUACAUCACUAUACUGUUUUAUUGCUUGUUAACUAAUUACAUUUUCCAUAUAGUUUUGCCUGGCUUGAAUUGGUGAGCCAUCGAUGCUUCAUGCCAAAGUUAUUAAUGUGCAAUUUGCAAAAAGGCUGGCCAUUUUUCCAGAGGUUGCUUGUCGAUUUGUUCAAAUUCAUGGAGCCAUACCUAAGAAAUGCUGAAUUGGGACAACCUAUUCUCCUUCUGUACAAAGGAACAUUAAGAGUGCUACUUGUGCUAUUGCAUGACUUCCCUGAAUUUCUUUGUGACUAUCACUUCAGUUUCUGUGAUGUGAUUCCCCCAAGCUGCAUUCAAAUGCGUAAUGUUAUUCUUAGUGCUUUCCCACGUAAUAUGAGACUUCCAGAUCCCUCCACUCCUAACCUAAAGAUUGAUCUGCUAGCGGAAAUUUCAAUAGUUCCUCGAAUCAUGACUGAUGUGGAUGGUGCUUUGAAGGCAAAGCAAAUGAAGACUCAGAUUGAUGAAUACCUAAAGAGACCAGAAGGUUCCCUCUUUUUAACCGAUCUAAAGCAGAAGUUGUUAUUAACACAAAAUGAAGCAAACAUUGCUGGGACUCGUUACAAUGUCCCUCUAGUUAAUUCACUUGUCCUUUACGUUGGCAUGCAGGCUGUGCAACAGUUGCAGCAAAACAAGGUGAAUGCAUCAGCACCAGCACAAAUUAACCAAAGUCAAAUGGAUAUAUUCCAAAUUGAAACAGCUACUGAGAUGUUCAGAAACCUUGUAAUGACUAUGGACACAGAAGGUCGCUACCUUAUUCUCAAUGCGAUUGCUAACCAGCUUCGCUAUCCAAAUAGCCAUACCCACUACUUUUCCUUCAUCAUUCUGUACUUGUUUGCUGAGGCAACACAGGAAAUUGUCCAAGAGCAGAUAACAAGGGUUCUUCUGGAAAGGUUAAUUGUCAAUCGGCCGCAUCCUUGGGGAUUACUCAUUACUUUCAUUGAGCUUAUAAAGAACCCACGCUACAGCUUCUGGACUCGAUCCUUUACACACUGUGCUCCUGAGAUAGAGAAGCUUUUUGAGUCGGUUGCAAGGUCCUGUGGAGGUAAAGGCGCGGACGAUGGAAUGGGUCUAGCGGACGGAGGCCACUAGGGGAACAUGCCUAGCAUCGACGAAAGCAUCAGAUGUGGUUUUGCUGAUAUUGUAUAUAGAUUAGAGUAGGACCUGGGUGGUUUGCUUUGGAUGUAAGAUGGGCUUGUGCUAUGCUGGAAGUUGAGGCUAUCUCUUUCUCUCUAUAACACAAAAGUCAGGAGAAACCGUGGGCAAUGGAUCAGGCAACAUGGCUGUUAGCCUGCUAAUCGUUUAGACCCUGCAAGCUCGCAAUAUCGACCGUUCGAUUUGGGUCAUCAUGGGUCUAUCAUAUUUGGGUCAUCAUGGAAUAACUAGGUCCAAAAGAUUUGUCUCGCGAUUUACAGUCAAACUGUGAACUUAGUUAUUUUUUAUUUAUAUUUAAUGUUUCAUGCA